AGAAUGAAGGUAGUUAUACUUCCUUGAAAAUAUGCAUUCUAGUUUUUAGAAUAUAGUUUCUUAACACUGCCCUGACCAAAGAAAAAGAUUUAAAAAUGACAGAGAUCCUGAUUAAGGAACAUUGUUCUCAGCCUCUCUGUUCUUCCAGCAGAGACCAGCAGCCCUGCAAAACAAUUCUGUUGCCAAAAUGUUCUUGAUAUAUUAUAAAGUACGUAACCACAGACUUGCAGGCAGCUGGAAUUAUGCAAUCUUUUCAGGCAGACUUAAAGAGCUCUCAGGAAUAAAUAACCAUCCUUCAUAGAUAAAACUAAAGCAAUUUAGAAGCUAUUUAUUCAAAAUACUUGUUGUACCUGUCUUUGAAUAGUGUUUUGAAAAAGGGCAGCCAUUUCUGUGUAAACAUUAACUGUGGACCUGUCUCAUUCUAGAAGGAAAGUGUGUUUUUACAAGAUGUUACUUUAAAAGGAAGAAAUAGGAGGAGCACUGACUUUCAGUAGAAAGACUUGGGCUGUUUCUAUUAUUCAUUUGGGUCAUUGAGGGUUACAGUAUGGAACGCGCAAUAUGAUGCAACUUUCCUGCUUGUUUUCAAGUUGGAUUACUGAGGCUAACUGGAGGGAUAUUUGUGCUUGAAUUUAAUUGUUUCACUUUCCUACAUGGAUUAGUCGCCCAUUCUGAUGAAGUCCUGUUAUCUGGUGCCUCUACUCAGUCCCGUGACUUAAGACUUGACUUGCUGGAUCAGCUCCUUCCAGAUGCUCUUUGACACAUAAGUACAAAUUUUUGCCCUACUAUUUAGACUUGUCGUUCAUGGAAGAGGAAAAUCCCAGGUUAGUGCUCUUGAAUUCAUUAACUUUUUGCUCUGCCGAGAAAGCCUUAUUUUCUGGAUGUUUACUUGUUUUGGAAAUACUGUGCUGUAUACCGUACUGGCUUUCCAAAAGUACUUCAUAGUAAGGGCACCACAUUGUUUCAGAAGACAAAGCUGAUUACGCUGGGUAUGUAAUGAUAAUUGAGGAUGCCAGCCCCUUGGCAAAUGUGCUGCAAUAAGAAAUCCAAAACUAAGCAUGGAAGAGCUGAAAUGGACAGCAUGGAAGAGACAAGUGAAAAAAUGCAGAUGAAAAAAGAAAUCACAUUGCUAAAUGGAGUCUCUUUAAUUGUAGGGAACAUGAUUGGCUCUGGGAUAUUUGUGUCACCCAGAGGUGUUCUAAUGUACAGUGCUUCCUAUGGACUCUCUCUAGUCAUCUGGGCGCUUGGUGGGAUAUUUUCACUAUUCGGAGCUUUGUGUUAUGCUGAAUUGGGAACAUCCAUCGUUAAAUCUGGAGCCAGUUAUGCCUAUAUUUUGGAAGCAUUUGGUGGCUUUGUGGCCUUCAUCAGACUCUGGUCUUCCUUGCUAAUUAUUGAACCAACAACUCAGGCAGUGAUAGCAAUCACGUUUGCCAACUAUAUUGUUCAACCAAUUUUUCCUCAUUGUGAGCCACCAUAUGAUGCAGUCAGGUUGAUUGCAGCUGCUUGUAUAUGUUCCUUAACAUUUAUUAAUUGUGUCAAUGUAAAGUGGGGAACCCGUGUACAAGAUGUUUUCACUUACGCAAAAGUUAUGGCCCUUUUCUUGGUGAUAUCUGUUGGCCUUUACAAAAUUGGUAAAGGAGAAACAGAAAACCUGAGAGCCCCAUUCGAGGGCUCGGCAACAAACCCAGGGAUGAUUGCUCUGGCUCUCCACUCUGCCCUCUUCUCCUACUCAGGAUGGGACACACUCAACUACGUCACUGAGGAAAUGCAGAAUCCUGAGAGGAAUCUACCUCUUUCUAUUGCAAUUUCAAUGCCUAUUGUGACUGUUAUUUAUUUGUUGACUAACAUAGCAUACUACAUAGUGUUGGACAUGUCAGCUCUCCUCACAAGUGAUGCAGUGGCUGUGACAUUUGGUGGUGAAACCCUUAGUUAUGCUAAGUGGAUAAUUCCUAUAGCAGUGGCCAUGUCUUGCUAUAGUGGCUUAAACUCAUCAAUAAUUGCAGCAUCUAGGCUAUUUUAUGUUGGGGCCAGAGAAGGACACCUCCCUGACAGUCUGAGCUUGAUUCACGUAAAGUGCUUCACACCAGUCCCUGCUCUCCUCUUCAAUGGCUUAAUGACUUUGAUUUAUCUCCUUGUGGAAGAUGUUUUCCUCCUCAUUAAUUACUACUGCUUCAACUACUGGCUUUUUGUGGGUCUGUCUAUUGCAGGACUAAUAUAUUUGAGAUACACUCAGCCACAUCGAACCCGGCCUAUCAAACUUAGCCUCUUUUUCCCCAUAGUAUACUGUUUAUGUUCCCUUUUCCUGGUCAUAGUUCCUCUCUACAGUGACACAAUCAGUUCCCUUAUUGGCAUUGGUAUUGCCCUCUCAGGCGUUCCUGCAUAUUAUUUAGGAGUCUAUCUGCCAGUUGAAAAACGACCUAAAUGUCUACAGUGGCUCUCUGGAUUUAUUUUUGACUCAUGAGGACUGGCAGCAAAGCAACUAUGUGAAGUGCUACAAGUUUACAACGGCUCAAAAGCUCUAAAGUCAUUUAUUUAUUUAUUUAUUGCCAAGGGCAAAUGAGGAAAAUAAAAUGCAAGCCUAAAGAAGAUGCUGCACAGUAAAGGCAGAAGAACUUCUUUGUACAUCAGGAGCCUGGGUUAUAAGCACAAGGAAUUAGAAACACUUCUUUGGGAACACACAUUUAAUGUAAUUGAUGUCACUGAAAAACAUGAAAGAAGAGUAGGCUACUGAAAUGUCUGGUUGUUAACUACCUAGAAAGGUCCAUAUUAGAGGCAAAGGAAGGGAGAGGAAUCUGGUUUACAUCACCAUGGUUUUAAAACAGGAGGAGUCAACAUUAAAGCAAAUGUUCAUAAGUCAAGCCUCUUCGAACAGAAAGAAUAAAUGAGAAUUAACCAGUUGAUGCAAUAAAAAACACAGUAAAAAUUAGUAGGUGUUUAAAGAGCUGAUCACCAAAAAUGUGCUGCCUGGCAAGUGAUGGAACUGAAUACAUUUCAGCAUACAAAUAGAACAAAGAUUAAUUCAGCAAUAUAUUUACAUAGUGCUCAGAAAUGUCCAUUUUACAGAGCCAAACCAACCGUGAGCCACACCUGGUGGAGGGAGAACAAAGAGAGUUUAAACUGGAAAUAAACUUCCUUGGGGCUGUGUAAGAACCUACAUGCAGAAACCAGAAAAAAAAGAAAGGAACAUGCAACUGCUUUAAAACUGUAAUAAAGCCUUCCUCUUUAGAGAGGAAAUGCAAAGAGGCAGUGAAAUAGAAGAAAGACAAUUUUAAUGGUAAUGACCAGAAUUUCAAGGACAAGCUGCUGAACACAACAUCUGACCCCUUUAGAUGUGCUUCUACAAUACCACAAAAGAACUUCAGAAGCUGGUGGCAACAACAUAGUGCCCAGGUGAAAAUACGCUCAUUAUGGUGAUGUUACCUUAUUUCUGAUUAGCCAUUGCUUUUUCCCAUACCACGCCACCACAUAAGGACACCUGCAAAUUAAAGUACCUUUCACUUGCUAUUUUAGGAGAAAUGUCUUGUCUGUUUCAGCGAGUGUGCAGUCAUUGAAACAGAAUUCAGUUUUCAGUGGAAUUACAUUUGACACCACGAGAGGGAGAACGCCUUUGCUUGAUGCUCUCAGGAAGGAAAGGCAGACAGCAGUUUUGUGACCUGCUCAGAACAGAAUCAGACCGGUAUGUGUGUUCUUGCCCAUACCAAAAGUCCUAAGAAGGACAGGCUUAGGUCCAGCAAAGAGUGGCAGCUGCAUGUUCUGAAUAAUGCUUUAAAACAGCCUGCUGCAAAUUCAAAUGAAGAUGAAGUCACAGUUCAAACAUUCCUCUUUCUUUACAGGAUUGCCCUCGUAUCUGGAGCAGAAAACAAGAGUUUAUCAUCCUGGCUGUUUCCAGUAUGUAACAGCAUAUAUGAGUACCUAAGUCAAAGGGAUUAUGAACAUCCUUUUCAGAACUUCCACAUUAAGCAUGAAUAAUAAGCUAAUAAUAUCUAAUAGAUAAUAAAUUAGUUAUUGUAUGGAAAUGAAAAAAAAAAAAGGAGUUCCCCACCCUCAUAUUUCCCAUUUUUCUUCUUUAUUUUUUCUCUCAGAUAAAACUUAUGAAAUCGACACUUCCCUCUGAUAUUUGGUAGUGAAGAGCUACUUAUAAAGACACCCUUUGGAAAAUACAGUGCUUAGGUCAAAUCAGUUGCCUGUUGACCUCCUGCUCAGUAUGACGUAAAAUUUGGCUGUACAACAAACUUUCAGAGACCACUGGACCACCACCUGAGUCUGACCAGCCUUAGAUGUUGCUGUAAACCUCCUCUUUUGGUGGGUCCCACGAGCAGCAAAGAAUGAGGAAAUAAAACCUCUCUAGAUUAAAAAGAAUAAAGAUUUUUAUUCUGUUCAGCAAACAGCAAUUAUUUUCUUUCACAAUAAAAUGCUGAAAAAAGAAAA